CAGGAUGAACGCUAGCUACAGGCUUAACACAUGCAAGUCUUGGGGCAGCAUGGUCUUAGCUUGCUAAGGCCGAUGGCGACCGGCGCACGGGUGAGUAACACGUAUCCAACCUGCCGUCUACUCUUGGACAGCCUUCUGAAAGGAAGAUUAAUACAAGAUGGCAUCAUGAGUCCGCAUGUUCACAUGAUUAAAGGUAUUCCGGUAGACGAUGGGGAUGCGUUCCAUUAGAUAGUAGGCGGGGUAACGGCCCACCUAGUCUUCGAUGGAUAGGGGUUCUGAGAGGAAGGUCCCCCACAUUGGAACUGAGACACGGUCCAAACUCCUACGGGAGGCAGCAGUGAGGAAUAUUGGUCAAUGGGCGAGAGCCUGAACCAGCCAAGUAGCGUGAAGGAUGACUGCCCUAUGGGUUGUAAACUUCUUUUAUAAAGGAAUAAAGUCGGGUAUGGAUACCCGUUUGCAUGUACUUUAUGAAUAAGGAUCGGCUAACUCCGUGCCAGCAGCCGCGGUAAUACGGAGGAUCCGAGCGUUAUCCGGAUUUAUUGGGUUUAAAGGGAGCGUAGAUGGAUGUUUAAGUCAGUUGUGAAAGUUUGCGGCUCAACCGUAAAAUUGCAGUUGAUACUGGAUAUCUUGAGUGCAGUUGAGGCAGGCGGAAUUCGUGGUGUAGCGGUGAAAUGCUUACAUAUCACGAAGAACUCCGAUUGCGAAGGCAGCCUGCUAAGCUGCAACUGACAUUGAGGCUCGAAAGUGUGGGGUAUCAAACAGGAUUAUAUACCCUGGUAGUCCACACGGUAAACGAUGAAUACUCGCUGUUUGCGAUAUACUGCAAGCGGCCAAGCGAAAGCGUUAAGUAUUCCACCUGGGGAGUACGCCGGCAACGGUGAAACUCAAAGGAAUUGACGGGGGCCCGCACAAGCGGAGGAACAUGUGGUUUAAUUCGAUGAUACGCGAGGAACCUUACCCGGGCUUAAAUUGCAGAUGAAUUACGGUGAAAGCCGUAAGCCGCAAGGCAUCUGUGAAGGUGCUGCAUGGUUGUCGUCAGCUCGUGCCGUGAGGUGUCGGCUUAAGUGCCAUAACGAGCGCAACCCUUGUUGUCAGUUACUAACAGGUUCCGCUGAGGACUCUGACAAGACUGCCAUCGUAAGAUGUGAGGAAGGUGGGGAUGACGUCAAAUCAGCACGGCCCUUACGUCCGGGGCUACACACGUGUUACAAUGGGGGGUACAGAGGGCCGCUACCACGCGAGUGGAUGCCAAUCCCCAAAACCUCUCUCAGUUCGGACUGGAGUCUGCAACCCGACUCCACGAAGCUGGAUUCGUUAGUAAUCGCGCAUCAGCCACGGCGCGGUGAGUACGUUCCCGGGCCUUGUACACACCGCCCGUCAAGCCAUGGGAGCCGGGGGUACAAGAAGUGCGUAACCGCGAGGAGCGCCCUAG
rnacentral:rRNA from 1 species